rnacentral:misc_RNA from 1 species
CUGAGCGAGGGCCUCCGCGCCCGACCUCCAACCCUUUUUGUGAUAUAUGACCGUGUUGCCUCGGGGGCGACCCUGACGCUUUGCGGCGUCGGGCCCCCGGUGGAUAUUUAAUCAACUCUGCAUCUUUGCGUCGGGUUCACAAGUUUAAUUGAUUA